rnacentral:sRNA from 1 species
CCAUUCCUCUAGGGAGAAGAGUCGAAUGAAGCCUGCAAAAAGGCCUCUGGGGAACAGUGCAUGGAGUCUCUUCACCCGGUCACUCACUUCCUCCUCUACAUACUGGCCUAUUUCUGUGUCUACUCGUGUCUGUAUUUCUUGGUUUAUUUUGUUAGCAUCUUUAUGGAGGAUUAGGCAGUCAGCUGGACGAAAGCCUCUUUGGGCCCAACUAACAUUGGCCAAGGAAGGACAAGAGGGGUGGGAGGGGUUCCAGCCAUCACCAGGAGUCGUGAAGAGACAAAGGCUGACCUGGCAGGGGCAUUGCAGAGCCUACAAAUGAGGUGUGGAGGUGAGUGCAGUCGCACGGGACAGGAACAGCAUGAAGAUCCGGUCCAGGGUCCACUCGGAAGUUGCACCUGUCCAGUGGAUGAAGGACUCAUCUAGUGUUUCUUGUUCCUGUCUGUCUAGAUCUUCCUGAUGUUGCUGAUUAGAACUCAGCGCUCUCCGGGAAGCACAAAAAUUGGAUCAAUCUGUCAAGCAAAAAAGGAGAUGAAGGGCGCUCUCUGGGAAUGAAUAUAUGUAAAGCCUCCUCUGCUCUCCAAAGACUCCUUUUGUGGAACUCAGCUUUCAACAGUCCGACAUCCAAAGAAGGCAGACAUACCACCCUGACAACUUAAAUAAAAAUUUCAACAUUUUUUUUGUUAAAUAUUAAAGAAUGGUUUGGAUGCCUUGGGAAAGAAAGUAUUACUUUUCA